rnacentral:rRNA from 1 species
AUGGCAUUGUGGAAGUUAUGCAUUCCUAAAAGCGAAGGGGGAAUGGGUUUCAGAGACUUAUAUUCCUUCAACUUAGCCAUGCUUGCAAAGCAAUGUUGGAGGCUAAUUACUGACCCAACAUCUCUAUGUGCAAGGGUGUUAAAAGCGAAAUACUAUCCUAAUGGGAGCCUUCUGGAAGCUACCCCAAAGAGUGCAUCAUCAUUUACGUGGCAGGGUAUACUCAAGGGGUUGGAAACUUUCAAAAAAGGUUACAUAUGGAGGGUUGGAACGGGAGAGAAUAUUAGGAUAUGGAGUGACCCAUCGAUUCCAUCAAGUCCUGGAAUGAAGAUUAUAACCCCUAGAGGACAAAAUAUCUUGACUAGGGUGAGUGAAUUGAUUGACCUUGAGCAUGGAACAUGGGACGAGGAUAUGAUACGUUCGGUAUUCAAUCAUGUAGAUGCAAGACGAAUCCUUCAAAUACCACUGAAUAUCAACUUUUGA